rnacentral:lncRNA from 1 species
UCCGCUUACAAAAUACUGGAUGGUUGAUGAUGCCUUGUUAUUAGACAACGAUUCUAUAGUCCUAGUGGUGUAUUUGGUCCUUAUACUUGGGACACCAAGGAUGUCCUAUAUGAGUACUCCACUCUUUGAUACCAGACUUAUAGGUCUUGAGGUUCUAUAUCUAGUAUAACCGGUCAUCAAGAGUGAUAGCUAACCUUACGAGGAC